AGUUUUGAAUGGGGGCAACUGUUUGCUGAAGUGUGAUGUGUGAAGAGGUGGAAAGAAAUGAACUCAAGCAUCUCAGAAGUUUCAAUUCAGAGAGAGACAGAGAGAGCACAAGCUGCAGAGGGUCAGAGAGAGAGGGAGACACAGAAUCUGAAGCAAGCUCCAGGCUCUGAGCUGUCAGCACAGAGCCUGAUGUGGGGCUUGAAGCCAUGAACCCUGAAAUCCUACGCUAAACUGACUGAGCCACCCAGGCUCCCCAAGAACUCAACAUUCUUAAAUGUAAAAAGCUAAAAUAACUAAGUGAAUGAAGUUGAAACAUACUUUUCAAUACAAAAAGGCCACAGAAAUGAUUUCUUCAAAGAUUUUUUAUGUUUGUAAAUACCUUUGAAAUCUCAGAAUUCGGAUUCAUUAGAAAUGUUAGUGUCAUGUAACCAAGUACUUGGCUGUUUCCAAUGGAAAUUUUUGAAGAAAAUAAAAUUCUAAUCUGUAAAAGAUAUUAUAUUUAAAUUAAAAUAAAAUCCUAUUAUUCUUUUAAACAAUUCCAAACAAGUAAUUUGUUUUAAUAUUGUUCCUCCACGUUUCUACAAACAAUCCCAAAUAAGAAACCGUUUUUCCCCUUAGGGUAGAAACAUAAUUCCUCCACAAUCUAGGCAAAAAGCAAGACCCUAACUGUAACAGUGUCACUUUUACUUAACUGCCUUUUUGAUCUAUGACAAAUAAGUUCUCAUUUCCUUAUAUCACAUUAAGAUAAAUGUAUCCAUAACUACUUGAAGUGUUACCAAUCCAAGAAUAUUUUAUUCUAGUAAAUCAAAGCCCAAUGUUUAGAAGCAAAAUUAUUGAGUUUCAAGCAUUAGGCUCCUUCCUGUAAGCAUUGAUCUUAUCCCAAUCCCUGAAUCAUAUCUUUCAAGUGUGUCACUUAAAAAAGUUUACUGAUAAGACCAACCCUUCAAAAAAAUACAUAUUUAGCUGCCCUUAAUUUUUUUUCAUUCUGUACCCUGCUUAUGGUUGUUUCAUAUUUGAUCACCAGGGAUUAAUUUAGUUUCUUCCCAUUAACAGUUCAGUAUACAUUAUUUUUUAUGGAACUGAACAAGUUUGCUUCAGAGUUAGUGGAGAAAUAUAUAUUAUACCUAUUUGCUAUUGAUGAACCUAUAUUAUCACUGCUCGUGAAAAAUGCAGAAAAAGUUUCUGAAGAAACUGAAGAUGUUAUAUGCAGUAUAAUAUAGUGGGUACAGGCUUGGGUAUUGAAAUCAGACACAUCAAGAUCCAAACUAGAUUAUUGGCCCGCAUUGGAGGUAAUAUUGAACAAAUCAUUUUAAGCCUUUUAUUUUCAUAAGCGGGUUAAAUAAAGUAAUGUAUAGAAAGUCUUGCACAAAUAGUAAGGACUCAGUAAGUGUUAACAAAGAUAAAACCAAUAUACCCCAAUAAAAACUUUAGAGUGCACCUGGAUUUCAUAGCCUCAUUAAUAAGUAGAUUGUAUCAUUAGUCAAUUAACCUUUACUUUCCACAGCUAAAAUUAUAUUUUAAAAGUUUUUAUACAUUAUAAAAUGAAGAAUUUAGGUAAUGACUGCAACAGACUACAACACAGAACUUAAAGCUAAAUUCCCUUGCUUUUACAUGUUUGAAUUUUUCAAUGAACUUUCUGUGUCAGAACUCUGCCAAUGUUUGUGUAAAUCAUAUGCUAAACUUCUUGGUUCAGUUUUGUUUCAUUGAUCACUUAAUAAAUAAAUAUUUGUCUAACAUCUAUUAUUUACCAUGACUCUAUUAUUUGUUACUACUAUAAAUUUGCAUAAGAUAUUGCUUCUGUUUUCAAGUCUGUUUGCACAAGUCUGGAAGAAGAGGCAGAGAUGUAAAUAGCUGAUAAUAAUAAAAAGUUAUGUGUACACAAAUAACUUAUUAUAGAAAUUGUGACAAAUGUCAUAAAGCAGUUUGACAUGAAUCAUAAGAAUAGGUGUGGAAUAGUAAGAUUCAUAGCACUCAUCUCAUGUACAAUGUUAAGAUUAUAAAGUAAAACUUAGGUUUCUUACUCACAGUGGGAUAUAACAGAGCCAGACUGUGCUUUGCCAAUUAUUAGUGAUAUGAUUAUGAGCCCUAGUAUUCUCUGUUGUAAAUUGGGUUAAUAAAAUUUUCAUUUAAAUAUUU